rnacentral:rRNA from 1 species
ACUAUGGUGGAAAGCCGGGGACCGCAAGGCCUGGCGCUAACAGAUGAGCCCAAGUCGGAUUAGCUAGUUGGUAGGGUAAUGGCCUACCAAGGCGACGAUCCGUAACUGGUCUGAGAGGACGACCAGUCUCACCGGAACUGAGACACGGUCCGGACUCCUACGGGAGGCAGCAGUGGGGAAUAUUGGACAAUGGGGGCAACCCUGAUCCAGCGACGCCGCGUGGGUGAAGAAGGCCUGCGGGUUGUAAAGCCCUUUCGGUGGGGAAGAAAAGUUGCGACCUAACACGUUGCGACCUUGACGUAACCCACUAAAGAAGCACCGGCUAACUCUGUGCCAGCAGCCGCGGUAAUACGGAGGGUGCGAGCGUUAAUCGGAAUUACUGGGCGUAAAGCGCGCGUAGGCGGCUUUUCAAGUCGAUUGUGAAAUCCCCGGGCUUAACCUGGGAACUGCAGUCGAGACUGUCUAGCUAGAGUAUGGGAGAGGGAAGUGGAAUUUCAGGUGUAGCGGUGAAAUGCGUAGAUAUCUGAAGGAACAUCAGUGGCGAAAGCGACUUCCUGGACCAAUACUGACGCUCAUGUGCGAAAGCGUGGGGAGCAAACAGGAUUAGAUACCCUGGUAGUCCACGCCAUAAACGAUGAGAACUGGAUGUCGGAGGGGUCUGCCCUUCGGUGUCGUAGCUAACGCGUUAAGUUCUCCGCCUGGGGAGUACGACCGCAAGGUUGAAACUCAAAGGAAUUGACGGGGACCCGCACAAGCGGUGGAGCAUGUGGUUUAAUUCGAUGCAACGCGAAGAACCUUACCUGGUCUUGACAUCCUAGGAACCUCGCAGAGAUGUGGGGGUGCCUUCGGGAACCUGGAGACAGGUGCUGCAUGGCUGUCGUCAGCUCGUGUCGUGAGAUGUUGGGUUAAGUCCCGCAACGAGCGCAACCCUUGCCCUUAGUUGCCAGCAUUAAGUUGGGAACUCUAAGGGGACCGCCGGUGACAAACCGGAGGAAGGUGGGGAUGACGUCAGGUCAUCAUGGCCCUUAUGACCAGGGCUACACACGUGCUACAAUGGCCAGUACAAAGGGUUGCCAACCCGCGAGGGGGAGCCAAUCCCAGAAAGCUGGUCGUAGUCCGGAUCGCAGUCUGCAACUCGGCUGCGUGAAGUCGGAAUCGCUAGUAAUCGUGAAUCAGCGAUGUCACGGUGAAUACGUUCCCGGGUCUUGUACACACCGCCCGUCACACCAUGGGAGUUGAUUGCACCAGAAGUAGGUAGCCUAACCACAAGGAGGGCGCUUACCACGGUGUGGUCAAUGACUGGGGUGAAGUCGUAACAAGGUA